UACGAAGGGUGCAAGCGUUACUCGGAAUUAUUGGGCGUAAAGCGCGCGCAGGCGGUCCUUUAAGUCUGAUGUGAAAGCCCUCGGCUCAACCGAGGAGGGUCAUUGGAAACUGGAGGACUUGAGUGCAGAAGAGGAAAGUGGAAUUCCAAGUGUAGCGGUGAAAUGCGUAGAGAUUUGGAGGAACACCAGUGGCGAAGGCGACUUUCUGGUCUGUAACUGACGCUGAGGCGCGAAAGCGUGGGGAGCAAACAGG
rnacentral:rRNA from 1 species